UACGUAGGUGGCAAGCGUUGUCCGGAUUUAUUGGGUUUAAAGGGUGCGUAGGCGGCCGCCUAAGUCAGUUGUGAAAUACCCCGGCUCAACCGGGGGGGUGCGAUUGAUACUGGGCGGCUCGAGUAACAGCGAGGUUGGCGGAAUUGACGGUGUAGCGGUGAAAUGCAUAGAUAUCGUCAAGAACACCGAUAGCGAAGGCAGCCAACUAGGGGUUAACUGACGCUGAGGCACGAAAGUGCGGGGAUCAAAC
rnacentral:rRNA from 1 species